rnacentral:rRNA from 1 species
CUUACACAUGCAAGUCGAGGGGAAACGGCAUUAAGUGCUUGCACUUUUUGGACGUCGACCGGCGCACGGGUGAGUAACGCGUAUCCAACCUUCCCAUGACUAAGGGAUAACCUGCCGAAAGGCAGACUAAUACCUUAUGGUCUUCACUGACGGCAUCAGAUGUGAAGUAAAGAUUUAUCGGUUAUGGAUGGGGAUGCGUCUGAUUAGCUUGUUGGCGGGGUAACGGCCCACCAAGGCAACGAUCAGUAGGGGUUCUGAGAGGAAGGUCCCCCACAUUGGAACUGAGACACGGUCCAAACUCCUACGGGAGGCAGCAGUGAGGAAUAUUGGUCAAUGGGCGAGAGCCUGAACCAGCCAAGUAGCGUGCAGGAUGACGGCCCUAUGGGUUGUAAACUGCUUUUGUAUGGGGAUAAAGUCAGUCACGUGUGAUUGUUUGCAGGUACCAUACGAAUAAGGACCGGCUAAUUCCGUGCCAGCAGCCGCGGUAAU